rnacentral:lncRNA from 1 species
AAGUGUUUUACUUUUAAGAAAAGGGGUUCAUCCAUAUCUUUUUCCAACGAAUAGCAUGAAAUAUAGACGUUGACUCUUUGCCUAUGUAUGGCUUAAAUUCCAAGACUUUUGAUAGCCAAUCUUGACAGUAUACUCUUCAUUCUUAGAGGAAGACUAAACAAGUACUUAAGUCUUAGGCAAGGCUUGCACCCUAGAGUCUCCAGCAAUU